CCCACCCCCCACUCCUGGACAGCUUUCCCCUCCCCAUCCCCUUCUCUUCCACAGACCCGGAGUGCGGCGGCUCUGCUCCGGCGACCUGUCCAUCGACGGCCUCGAGAUCGAUGGGGGCCUUGCCGUGCCGGCUGGAUGGAGUGGUUCUGUCCUCCAAGUGGAGUCCCAGGAUUCCAUGGGUGCAGCAGAUGCGGCCGACAAAGCACAGGCAGACGGAGGUGCGGCCAUAUAGGAGGUGUGUUCUGAAGCUACGAGUGGCUGGACACGAAGGGAUAGGAUGGGGAAAGCUCCUGACGAGAGGGAGAUGAAGCCUGACAAGAAAACAGCACUGGAAUUGUCUGUGCGCGCUUAUGCUGAGAAAGGAGCUGGUCAUGUUGUCAAUCCAGCAAUUGGCACAUCUUUUGACUCGUUAGAUGAGGCUUAUGAGUUCUACAACCUUUAUUCCUGGGAAUGUGAUUUUGGAGUUCGGCUAUGUUGCUCGGAAAAGGUGCAUGCAAGAGAUUGUUUGUGAUUGUGCGGAAAGGAAUGCUAGGAUCUUUGAACACACCGCCAGUAUCGUCGACAGAGUUUUGGACCAGAUUAGAGAAGAUCUUCAAGUCUGGAGGGCAGCGGGGUGUGUUCUGGAUCUUACUUUGUAAAAGCCUCUUAUAAAAGCCUCUUGUAAUUGGGGUGUUCUAUCCUGGGGGUGGCGCCCUCGGGAGGUCUUCCAGUGCGAGACCGCCUAGCCUGUCUGACCUUGUUGUACUCUUCUCCUCUUUCUAAUAAAAUUCGGCCAACGGCCCUUCGAGGUUUGAUGCCAUCAUGUUUCCAUGUGUUUGUAUGCUGGUUUAGUUUCUCGAUUUGGGUUGUCAGUUUUUUUUAUUUUUUUUGCGGGGGUCGGAAUUUUCAUUUGUGCUACCAACAGUAAUUCUCUUGAUGUGUGUUAAAUUUGUCUGAACUGUUUGUUGUGUGUU